ensembl:lncRNA
GGAAGAUUUAGGUUGGAUGUCAGGGGGAAGUUCUUUGCUAUGAGAGUGGUGAGGUGCUGAACAGCUGCCCAGAGAGGCUGUGGAUGCCCCGUCCAUCCCUGGAGGUGUUCAAGGCCAGGUUGGAUGGGGUCCUGGGCAGCCUGGGCUGGUAUUACAUGUGGAGGUUGGUGGCCCUGCCUGUGGUGGGGGGUUGGAGCUUCAUGAUACUUGAGGUCCCUUCCAACCCAAGCCAUUCUGUAAUUCUGUGAUUAAGGUCACAAGAGACCUGUAAAAUCAAUCAUCAACCCACCACCACUAUGAGCAUCCCCAGGCUGGUGUUGCUGAGCACCGUGACUCGGAGAGCUGCCAAGCUGGACAACUGCUCCUCACUGUCCAGCUUGACCUUU